rnacentral:rRNA from 1 species
AAUCAACGCUGGCGGCGUGCCUCAGACAUGCAAGUCGAACGCGAAAGUUUCCUUCGGGAGACAAGUAGAGUGGCGCACGGGUGAGUAACACGUAGGUAAUCUACCUUUGGAUGGGGAAUAACAACCGGAAACGGUUGCUAAUACCGCAUAAUGCAGCGGCACCUAAUGGUGACAGUUGUUAAAGCGGGGGACCGAAAGACCUCGCGUCUAAAGAGGAGCCUGCGGCGGAUUAGCUAGUUGGAAGGUAAUGGCUUACCAAGGCUACGAUCCGUAACCGGCCUGAGAGGGCGGUCGGUCACACUGACACUGACAUACGGGUCAGACUCCUACGGGAGGCAGCAGUCGGGAAUUUUGGGCAAUGGGCGAAAGCCUGACCCAGCAACGCCGCGUGAAGGAUGAAAUCCCUCGGGAUGUAAACUUCG